rnacentral:rRNA from 1 species
GGGAUCGAAGAUGAUUAGAUACCAUCGUAGUCUUAACCGUCAACAAUGCCGACUUGCGAUUGUUGCGGUCGUUUUUAGAUCGCAGCAGCAGCACAUGAGAAAUCCAAGUGUUUGGGUUCCGGGGGGAGUAUGGUCGCAAGGCUGAAACUUAAAGGAAUUGACGGAAGGGCACCACCAGGAGUGGAGCCUGCGGCUUAAUUUGACUCAACACGGGGAAACUUGCCAGGUCCGGACAUGAUAAGGAUUGACAGAUUGAGAGCUCUUUCUUGAUUGCAUGGGUGGUGGUGCAUGGCCGUUCGUAGUUGGUGGAGUGAUUUGUCUGGUUGAUUCCGAUAACGAACGAGACCGCAGCCUGCUAAAUAGUGCGCUGAAUCGUUUUUAGAUUCGUUGUUUUCACUUCUUAGAGGGACGUUCCGUUCUCACCGGAAGGAAGUUCGUU